UACGUAGGUGGCAAGCGUUGUCCGGAAUUAUUGGGCGUAAAGCGCGCGCAGGCGGUCCUUUAAGUCUGAUGUGAAAGCCCACGGCUCAACCGUGGAAGGUCAUUGGAAACUGGAGGACUUGAGUACAGAAGAGGAAAGCGGAAUUCCACGUGUAGCGGUGAAAUGCGUAGAGAUGUGGAGGAACACCAGUGGCGAAGGCGGCUCACUGGACCGGUUCUGACGCUGAGGCGCGAAAGCGUGGGGAGCAAACGGG
rnacentral:rRNA from 1 species